CAGUCGCCGCGGUAAUACGAAGGGUGCAAGCGUUACUCGGAAUUACUGGGCGUAAAGCGUGCGUAGGUGGUGGUUUAAGUCCGUUGUGAAAGCCCUGAGCUUAACUUAGGAAUUGCAUUCGAUACUGGGAAGCUAGAGUAUGGGAGAGGAUGGUAGAAUUCCAGGUGUAGCGGUGAAAUGCGUAGAGAUCUGGAGGAAUACCGAUGGCGAAGGCAGCCAUCUGGCCUAAUACUGACGCUGAGGUACGAAAGCAUGGGGAGCAAACAGGAUUAGAUACCCAGUAGUCCCUGUCUCUUAUACA
rnacentral:rRNA from 1 species